rnacentral:tRNA from 2 species
GUGUUCGUGGUGUACGGGUGUGCACGCCGGAUUGUGGUUCCGGAAGGCGAGGGUUCGAGUCCCUGCGUUCACC